AUUGAACGCUGGCGGCAGGCUUAACACAUGCAAGUCGAGCGGGGUGAUGGUGCUUGCACUAUCACUUAGCGGCGGACGGGUGAGUAAUGCUUAGGAAUCUGCCUAUUAGUGGGGGACAACAUCUCGAAAGGGAUGCUAAUACCGCAUACGUCCUACGGGAGAAAGCAGGGGAUCACUUGUGCCCUUGCGCUAAUAGAUGAGCCUAAGUCGGAUUAGCUAGUUGGUGGGGUAAAGGCCUACCAAGGCGACGAUCUGUAGCGGGUCUGAGAGGAUGCUCCGCCACACUGGGACUGAGACACGGCCCAGACUCCUACGGGAGGCAGCAGUGGGGAAUAUUGGACAAUGGGGGGAACCCUGAUCCAGCCAUGCCGCGUGUGUGAAGAAGGCCUUAUGGUUGUAAAGCACUUUAAGCGAGGAGGAGGCUCUUCUGGUUAAUACCCAAGAUGAGUGGACGUUACUCGCAGAAUAAGCACCGGCUAACUCUGUGCCAGCAGCCGCCGUAA
rnacentral:rRNA from 1 species